CAUAACUCCCCCUCUACAUCUAGCUCUGCCCCACAGCAGCAGCAGCAGCAGCAACAGCCAAAGCAUGCAUUGCAGCAGCAUACGCAGAUGCUAUACAGCAAUUAUUUGGCAGCCCAUGUUCAACAUACUGCUAGUUCAACGCAUACAACAUCUGUAGGAAUCGGAUUUUAUCACCAAAGACAUCGAAGUGAGCAGCAGCAACAACCGCAGGGCUCAUCA
rnacentral:misc_RNA from 1 species